UUACAAAACAAAACACUUUUAUUUGGUCCGUGGAGCCUGAGUGGAAAUGGCCUAUGGGGUGCAUCAUCGAACAAGGAAGGGACUGACAGCUGAUAAAAUAGUCUCUGUGUUCGAAGAGCUGGUCCUAUUUACAGGGUUAAAAAUAUUCACAGCUCAGAGUAAAAGGAGGCCCAGAGGGAAGGGGAAUGUUUCUCUAGGUAUAAAAACCCUAGCAAGCCCCAUGGAGGCAGGGACAGUGGGCUUGGGAGCUGCCCCUACCUAGGGGGCUGCACAACAGUGGCCCAGGAAAUGACUCAGGCGUCCAUGUGGCAGGUAAGGGCUCUGAUUUUGACAAGCAGCUGAGGGAAUGCUGGGCAGGUGGGCAGCUUGGCUCCCUCAUCUAGGGGAGGGAGUAGUCAGUCACACCUUACAUGUGCCUGUGA
rnacentral:lncRNA from 1 species